CGUAGAUGCAAAAGGAUUGAGUCCAGUCUGAAUGCCAUCAGCUGAGGAGUGGGAUCUGGUCAUGGCUUCAUCAUGAGUUGUAGCUUUUUUCUGCCCAGUCCAGCAAUACCUAGACAGGAAGAAACAAAGAUUCAGCACUACCUGGAAGGUUUGUCUUCUUGAAUUCCAAGGAAAAGGGAGUUAAACAGCUGUUGCUGAGAAAGUGUUAUAGAGCAACCCCGAUAUUAAACGGGUUCCUGGCUGUGGGUCCUCACCAGCGCGCUUUAAAGGGACUUAUGAAUACUCUACUACAGACACACACAAAAGGGUUAA